rnacentral:rRNA from 1 species
UACGUAGGGGGCAAGCGUUGUCCGGAUUUAUUGGGCGUAAAGAGCGUGUAGGCGGUUUGGUAGGUCCGUUGUGAAAACUCGAGGCUCAACCUCGAGACGCCGAUGGAAACCAUCAGACUAGAGUCCGGAAGAGGAGAGUGGAAUUCCUGGUGUAGCGGUGAAAUGCGCAGAUAUGCGGAGGAACACCGAUGGCGAAGGCAAUCCCCUGGGCCUGCACUGACGCUCAUGCACGAAAGCGUGGGGAGCAAACAGG